CUCCUUUAGGGCCGGCACUGCAUUAAAAAAAGAAAAAGAAGAGGAGAGACAGAGAGAGAUGAGAGAGAAAUGGAGUGUCAGAAACACCUUUGUGAGAGAGCUUGCCCCUGUGAAGAGGGAGAGCCACCAACCUCACAGGCAGAUACAUCGGACAGCCAGAGGUGACCCACAGCACCGCUCUCAAGAAAACUCAUGCUGUUGAGUGCAAGAUCAAGAACUGCUGAAUUUUGACCUCUGUGCUAAUCUUCUGCUCUGCCCUGACCUGCAUUAAGAAAACCAGAUCAGAUGAUGCCAGCUAGCCAAACUGAGUCCAACAGGUUGUUCGAAAAGGAAGGGAAAGAAGGUAUGUUACACUUAUUAUUCAGCCACAAAUGGUAAAAUGGCAGCAAUAUCAUUUGAAUGCAUCUACCAUCAAGCCAGCUGUCAGUUCUUCACACAAGAGAGAGUUCCCAAAUUGAUGCUUAUAGAUUUUACACACAGACUGCACUCAGACAUUCCCAAAUUAUCUUUCCAGUCAGUUACAUGAUUAUUAUUUGGGUAACCAGCUUGGCAUCUGUUGGUCGCAUCAAAAAGUCAAUUACAAACUUAGGAGCGGCCUGCAAUAUAGAGUUGCUCACCUGCCCUGGUGUGUCUGCUUUUCCAACUGAAAAUCUUUCAGUUCAGGUGUUUUAAAACCUCCACUGAAGAGCAAAUGAGCUGGUUGUUAUUGGUUUUUGGGGUGUUUGCUUUUUUCUUCCCUCUUAUAAUAUGGGCUCUCUUGCAUUUUUCCACCAGUCCAUGCUAGUAGAUUUAUUUCACUUUUUGUAUUGCCUCUCCCCUCUUAUUGUCAUUGUCAGAUAUAUCAGGAAUAAAGCACAUUGGAACAUAGUUUGGAGGUGUUAUAAUACUUGCAGAUAAACUCUGUAACUGAGAUCUUCACAGUACAAAAAUUGUCUCCCUGUGGUAUCUUGGGGUAGAUUAAUUUCUAACACAAGGCUGAACAUAGCAAAGUGUGGAAGAAGGACUGUACUCUCAAGAAACUGGAGCAUACUUGACAGAAUACUCCAAUGAUCUUUGGCAGGCGGUAGUCUUGCAGCCAGCACAGGCCUUAAUAUCCUGCAAAGAUGUCAGCAAAUUUCUGAGAAAAAGCGCUUCUUAGAAAGGUAGAAUGAAAAUGAUGCUUACUUGUAAUUUUGGAUGGUGCCUGUCCGUCUCUGUUGCAGGAUGCUUCGGGCCCUGGCAAAGGCGUCCUUAGGACCAUAUUUGAAGAAGCAAAACUGUUUUGUUCGGUACCUUGCUCAAGUUAGACCAUAUGUCCUAAUAUUUCUACAUACAACUGAUCUUCCAAGUAACAAAUAUUUUUCCUUCAAUCACCAGAAAGGGGAGAUUUCUGUUCUGUCCUCAGGUACAUCUGCUUGCUAAUAGUUACUGUGCUGCCUGGGAUCUAAAGGGUUUGUUUGCCUCUGUAGGCUGUCCCUCCACAGAAUUUGGGUCAGUUUCAGAACAUUAUUAUUAAAUUUAAAAGCUUUGUUUUCCAAGUUAUUACCUAGAGCAGCUCUUUUUCAGACAAUGUUCUUUACUACCAUCUACUCUACUUUAGGAGCAGCACUUCUCCUAACCUCAAGGGUAAGUCUCAUGACAGUAGAUGAUAAAGUUUUCUUGGCAGUAGACAAGACUUUUGAACCCCUUGCUGAAACAGAUAAGAAUGAUCACAACUUUCACAGCCCUCAGGGUAAAGUACAACAUAUUACUUUAGCCGUGCUAUCCUCACCGUGUACACAACUUUAAGCAGC